rnacentral:rRNA from 1 species
CCUACGGGAGGCAGCAGUGAGGAAUAUUGGUCAAUGGCCGUAAGGCUGAACCAGCCAAGUCGCGUGAAGGAAGAAGGAUCUAUGGUUUGUAAACCUCUUUUAUAGGGGAAUAAAGGUAUCCACGUGUGGCUAUUUGCAUGUACCCUAUGAAUAAGCAUCGGCUAACUCCGUGCCAGCAGCCGCGGUAAUACGGAGGAUGCGAGCGUUAUCCGGAUUUAUUGGGUUUAAAGGGUGCGUAGGUGGUUUUUUAAGUCCGCGGUUAAAGUUUGUGGCUCAACCAUAAAAUUGCCGUUGAAACUGGCAGUCUUGAGUGUGUUUGAAGUAGGCGGAAUGCGUGGUGUAGCGGUGAAAUGCAUAGAUAUCACGCAGAACUCCGAUUGCGAAGGCAGCUUACUGGACUGCAACUGACACUGAGGCUCGAAAGUGUGGGUAUCAAACAGGAUUAGAUACCCCUGUAGUC